GCCCUGUGGUUACUGGACGCUGUUACUUCAGUAUAGUGCUUCAGUUAGUAGAAAAGGGCCAACAGUAAUACUUUGACUUAUGCAUGGAGUCUGAUACCUUAGCAGCCUUCAUAGCCCNGUCAUUGUUACAUUU
rnacentral:snoRNA from 1 species